rnacentral:rRNA from 1 species
AUUGAACGCUGGCGGAAUGCUUUACACAUGCAAGUCGAACGGCAGCACGGGGGCAACCCUGGUGGCGAGUGGCGAACGGGUGAGUAAUACAUCGGAACGUGCCCAGUCGUGGGGGAUAACGUAGCGAAAGUUACGCUAAUACCGCAUACGAUCUACGGAUGAAAGCGGGGGACCGUAAGGCCUCGCGCGAUUGGAGCGGCCGAUGUCCGAUUAGGUAGUUGGUGAGGUAAAGGCUCACCGAGCCGACGAUCUGUAGCUGGUCUGAGAGGACGACCAGCCACACUGGGACUGAGACACGGCCCAGACUCCUGCGGAAGGCAGCAGUGGGGAAUUUUGGACAAUGGGCGCAAGCCUGAUCCAGCCAUUCCGCGUGCAGGACGAAGGCCUUCGGGUUGUAAACUGCUUUUGUACGGAACGAAAAGGCUCUGGCUAAUACCUGGGGCUCAUGACGGUACCGUAAGAAUAAGCACCGGCUAACUUCGUGCCAGCAGCCGCGGUAA